rnacentral:rRNA from 1 species
CCUACGGGCGGCAGCAGUGAGGAAUAUUGGUCAAUGGACGAGAGUCUGAACCAGCCAAGUAGCGUGAAGGAUGACUGCCCUAUGGGUUGUAAACUUCUUUUAUAUGGGAAUAAAAUGUUCCACGUGUGGGUUUUUGUAUGUACCAUAUGAAUAAGGAUCGGCUAACUCCGUGCCAGCAGCCGCGGUAAUACGGAGGAUCCGAGCGUUAUCCGGAUUUAUUGGGUUUAAAGGGAGCGUAGGUGGAUUGUUAAGUCAGUUGUGAAAGUUUGCGGCUCAACCGUAAAAUUGCAGUUGAAACUGGCAGUCUUGAGUACAGGAGAGGUGGGCGGAAUUCGUGGUGUAGCGGUGAAAUGCUUAGAUAUCACGAAGAACUCCGAUUGCGAAGGCAGCUCACUGGACUGCAACUGACACUGAGGCUCGAAAGUGUGGGUAUCAAACAGGAUUAGAUACCCGUGUAGUC